GCAUUGAACAUUGAGCAUCUGGGAGGCAUCUUCACAGCAUGUUUUUGAAGGAGACAACAGAGCAAGCAGAAUUGCUGCCAACAGGAAAAAGGCAGAGCUACAGCAGCAGAAACAGAAGCACACAGGUGAUUUGUACCUUCUGCCCUAUAAUGGCCAACAUUGAUAUCUACCCAUAAAUGGUACCACCUGUGCCUUGGACACACAAGGAUGGGAAGUCCUCUAUGCUGUACUUGGAAAAUACAGAAACUGUUCUGCUUUCAUGAAGAUUCAUAGCAGUAACAUGCAACUCCUGAGUAUGGUUUGUUUGGACCCAUUCACUUCAACCUCACAACUUAAGAAGCACGUUUUCCUGAAGCGAAUGAGAUUCUUCUGUGUUUACUCUAUUUAAUAAUUACAAAAGUAAAUUAUAUUGCUCUUUAACAUCAAUAGUCUUUACUGAAUGACCUAUAGGCAAAACUCUGUCAUAUUUGCAGUGAUAGAGGUUCAGUCCUAGAAAUCUCAAAAACUGUCAGAAGUCUUUUAUUUCUAAAAAGUCUUUCGUGUAAUACACUCUUUUUAUUUUCUAGACUUCUGCAGUACUUUAUAGAAGACUAUUUUGUAUCUGUGUAUGUAUACACACACAUGCAUAACAUACUGUAAUAGUUUGGGAAACUCUUUGUGACCAAAGGAGGGUUUGGGAAGCUUCAUUUUUACCUUUAGAAUAGCUGCUUUUCCUAGUUUAAAUCAUUCUAAAUUCCAGUAAGAAGUGUGACAUACACUUUCUAGAAAGGCAAAAAUGUAAUAGAUCUUCCAAACUGUGAAAAGCCAGGCCAGUUUAGAGAUGAGUUAAACAGGAAUAACUAAAGUGAGAUGAGGAUUGUUUCUUCAGAUGCUUUGUAAGUUACCUGUAAAGACCUGAUGCAUUUACUUAGAAACUAAAAGCACAGGAAAAAGCUUUCCUCUUAAGGAGAAGAAAAGUAAAAAAUCCUGAAUUUUUACCAAAAGCUGUUCUUCAUGAACUGCAAUUAAAGAUUCUUUAAUUUGGUCUUUCCUUUUGCAAUAUUUUGACAUUAGAAAAUGUUGAUGAAAACAAAAGGGGGAAUGCAUGUGUCACAAAAAGAAUGAAUUAAAGAAGAGAGGAAGCCAAAAUCCAUCUUUAUGCUUCUGUCUAAUCUAUCUAUGCUGUAUGGCUGACCAUACAGCCCUCCCCUUAAUAGCGAGCUUUUCAGCAAGGGGAAUUUUGGGGCCAUCCUGUGCACUCACUCCCUUUCAUUAUCCAUAGCAAAAAUAGAAAUUAUGCGAGUGCUAACAGGGUACAAAACUGACCUUCAAUUUU